GUAGGUGGGCAAGCGUUGUCCGGAAUUAUUGGGCGUAAAGCGCGCGCAGGGCGGGUCCUUUAAAGUCUGAUGUGAAAGCCCACGGCUCAACCGUGGAGGGUCAUUGGAAACUGGGGGACUUGAGUACAGAAGAGGAAAGCGGAAUUCCAAGUGUAGCGGUGAAAUGCGUAGAGAUUUGGAGGAACACCAGUGGCGAAGGCGGCUUUCUGGUCUGUAACUGACGCUGAGGCGCGAAAGCGUGGGGAGCAAACAGGAUUAGAUACCCUGGUAGUCCACGCCGUAAACGAUGAGUGCUAAGUGUUAGGGGGUUUCCGCCCCUUAGUGCUGCAGCUAACGCAUUAAGCACUCCGCCUGGGGAGUACGGCCGCAAGGCUG
rnacentral:rRNA from 1 species